rnacentral:other from 1 species
AAUACCCUGCUGUGCGCGUGUCAAGCCGUGUAAGUUUUGAGCUAACACCAACAAUACGGGAGCCCGGGCUUUACAUGUGGCGCAUAGGCCCCAGCUUAGUGGAGUUUAGAGGGGAAAUGCAAAGCAUGUAAGAGGGCACCCACCUGCUGAGAGAGCAGUUCAAAACAACGGUCUAAACGGCAUGGUGGGGUUAUU